UCUCGUAGUGACCUCCGGCUCGUUGACGUCGGCGCUCUCGCGAUUUGCCAAUUGUCUAAUGCUCCCUCCCGCCUUGGAAUGCCAUCCGAGCCGGGUUCGAGAAGUGGCCGGCUCUUUUUCUCCGCGCCUCGGCCCUUUUAUUCCGCGGAAUAUUCACCGGAUUAAGACACCGACACUGGCACGCGACCGUCGUCGCUGGCCAAUCAAUGGACGUUAUCCGGCAAAACGAGAAAGACACAGCCUUCAAAUAUUUUUCGUAGCUCGAGCCAAGUAAUGUAUCGCCGAGACGGCGCAAUAAAAAAUAAUUAUUAACA